rnacentral:tRNA from 1 species
UGGCGCAUAGUCUAAUGGCAAAACGCGUGGCUCUGACCCACGAUAGUCCAGGUUCGAAUCCUGGUGCGCCAA